rfam:Stegodyphus mimosarum contig122615, whole genome shotgun sequence.
GCCUUCGUGGUGUAGUGGUCAGCACGCUCGGCGCGUAUUCGAGAGGUCCGUGGUUCGAGUCCCGGCGAGGGUA